ACCGAAACACAGCUUCAAACACAGCAUUUUUGUUCCACAUUUUUAGCCUCGGGAAUUAUCCUGGAAGAAUCAAGACAAUGGGUGCCCAAGAAAAUGCAACAAUCUAAAAGGCAUGCAGAGACAUCUCUUAUGAUGUCUUCUCUACUGCAUCGUAAAGAUCAAGCUGAUGGCAGUGUCGACAGCAAUAGCAAAAAAAGCAGG